UACGGAGGGGGCUAGCGUUGUUCGGAAUUACUGGGCGUAAAGCGCACGUAGGCGGAUCGGAAAGUCAGAGGUGAAAUCCCAGGGCUCAACCUUGGAACUGCCUUUGAAACUCCUGGUCUUGAGUUCGAGAGAGGUGAGUGGAAUUCCGAGUGUAGAGGUGAAAUUCGUAGAUAUUCGGAGGAACACCAGUGGCGAAGGCGGCUCACUGGCUCGAUACUGACGCUGAGGUGCGAAAGCGUGGGGAGCGAACAGG
rnacentral:rRNA from 1 species